rnacentral:rRNA from 1 species
AUUGAACGCUGGCGGCAGGCCUAACACAUGCAAGUCGAGCGGUAACAUAGGUAGCUUGCUACCUGAUGACGAGCGGCGGACGGGUGAGUAAUGCUUGGGGAUCUGCCUUGAUGUGGGGGAUAACCAUUGGAAACGAUGGCUAAUACCGCAUAAUACCUACGGGUUAAAGAGGGCUUAGGCUCUUGCGUCGAGAUGAACCCAAGUGAGAUUAGCUAGUUGGUGAGGUAAAGGCUCACCAAGGCGACGAUCUCUAGCUGGUUUGAGAGGAUGAUCAGCCACACUGGGACUGAGACACGGCCCAGACUCCUACGGAGGCAGCAGUGGGGAAUAUUGCACAAUGGGCGAAAGCCUGAUGCAGCCAUGCCGCGUGUGUGAAGAAGGCCUUCGGGUUGUAAAGCACUUUCAGUUGUGAGGAAGGUUAUUGGUUAAUACCCAAUAACUGUGACGUUAACAACAGAAGAAGCACCGGCUAACUCCGUGCCA